GAUGAACGCUGGCGGCGUGCCUAAUACAUGCAAGUCGAGCGAACGGACGAGGAGUUUGCUUCUCUGAUGUUAGCGGCGGACGGGUGAGUAACACGUGGAUAACCUACCUAUAAGACUGGGAUAACUUCAGGAAACCAGAGCUAAUACCGGAUGAUAUUUUGAACCUCAUGGUUCAACAGUGAAAGUCGGUCUUGCUGUCACUACUACAUGGAUCCGCGCUGCAUCAGCUAGUUGGUAAGGUAACGGCAUACCAAGGCAACGAUGCAUAGCGGACAUCAGAGGGUGAACGGGCACACUGGAACAGAGACACGGUCCAGACACCUGCGGGGGGCAGCAGUAGGGAAUCUUACGCGAUGGAGGAAAGCCGGACAGUGCAAAGCGGAGGGAGUGCUGAAGGACUGCGGAUCGUAGAACUCUGUAAUAAGGGAAGAACAAAUGUGUAAGUAAAUGUGAACAACUUGACGGUACCUAAUCAGAAAGCCACGGCUAACUACGUG
rnacentral:rRNA from 1 species